rnacentral:pre_miRNA from 1 species
UGUAUACUCCCUAUGUCCGAAAAAGCUUGUCCCAAGCUUGUCCCUCAAAUGGAUGUAUCUAGCACUAACUUGGUGCUAGAUACAUCCAUUUGAAGGACAGGCUUUUUCGGACUGAGUACCAA